rnacentral:rRNA from 1 species
CCCGCAACUGCGGUAAUGCCGGCGCUAAUCGCGAUUAUUAAGGGUGUUGCGGUUAAAAAGCGCGUAGUCGGAAGUCGGUCACAGGCAGGCUGUCAGCCUCGGUUGGGCAGCUUGCUUGGGUCUUCUAGCUCGGGGGCCCCGUGCCAUUUAACCGUGGUGCGCGGGAACACGGGCCGUUUACUUUGAAAAAAUUAGAGUGUUCAAAGCAGGCCUACGCUUGAAUACAUUAGCAUGGAAUAAUGGAAUAGGACUUUGGUGCUAUUUCGUUGGUUAAUGGGACCGAAGUAAUGAUUAAAAGGGACAGUUGGGGCCGUUUAUAUUUCGUUGUCAGAGGUGAAAUUCUUGGAUUUACGAAAGAUAAACUUCUGCGAAAGCAUUCGGCAAGGAUGUUUUCAUUGAUCAAGAACGAAAGU